UACGUAGGUGGCAAGCGUUGUUCGGAAUUAUUGGGCGUAAAGAGCUCGUAGGCGGCUUGUCGCGUCGACUGUGAAAAUCCCGCGGCUCAACUGCGGGUCUGCAGCCGAUACGGGCAGGCUAGAGUUCGGUAGGGGGAGAUCGGAAUUCCUGUGUAGCGGUGAAAUGCGCAGAUAUCAGGAGGAACACCGGUGGCGAAGGCGGAUCUCUGGGCCGAUACUGACGCUGAGGAGCGAAAGCGUGGGGAGCGAACAGG
rnacentral:rRNA from 1 species